ensembl:lncRNA
CAUACCUAAGUGGUGACUUUGGGCUUAAAAUUGUGUUAACAUUGUGAAUGUUGGUUUUGAAUGACUUUACUACCUGUGGAUCAUUAUCAAAGUGACUAAUCCUUCUUAAGAGUGGAGGAACAUCCUGUCUGUAUAAUCCUAGACUGAAACAGCAGCUGCUAAGCAUAUGCGUCAAGUUUUACUCAACAACAAUCUGAGAAUACUGUGAAACUGGAGAAAUGCCUUAAGCUCAUACAGCAACUUACAUGCAUUCUAAGGAAGAAGGUAAAACAAAAGAUGUUGUAUUUCCUGUACAUUAAAGUAUAAGUGGUGCCAAAGGAAUCCCCAGAACAGAAAGAGAAGGUAGAAUCUGUUAUUCCCAGAGAUCAUUCUUGAGAUCCACAGCUGAGCUACUGCAGCAUUAGCUGACCAGACAGCUCCUGACCAAGCCUCGGCUUCUAGCAGACAUUGAAUUAUCUCUCCUACUGAAGCAAUGUGAAUCAUAGCAAAGGACUCAUGGAGAAUGGAGAGCCAUGUAUCGUCAGCACAAUGAUAGCAUCUAGUUCAGCAUCUCACUUCUAAACUUCUCAGUGGUUUCCAUAACACUUUGAGUAGGAGGAAAGAAGAGGAGGCAAGGACUAGUCAUACAAUUAGGCAAAUGGCUGUCUACUAUUUACUACUUCCCUGCUACACGUUUUCCCACAAAUACAAGCUCAGUCUCUCCCUAUCUAUACUUGCUGAGGCUGUGGGCUAGUUUAGAAUAGAAUGUAAGCAGCAGAGCACUCAUCAGCUGAAGUCAGCUGAACAAUACACAACAUUGACACAGACAACUUGCUGUUAAUAUCAUCUAGUGAAACUCAUCAUUAGUAUCAUAAAAUAUUUUUAGUUCAAUGCCUGAAGCCACCUAAAAUGGGUGUUAAGAAAUUCAAAAGAAUUUAUUCUUAUGAAAGGUCCUAUCAUCCUUCUUUUCUAGAACCAGGAUAUUCAAGCCAGCUUGCAACAGUCAUAAAUUCUCACAAAUUGCUGACCCAACAGAGGGUUUUCAUCUAUGUGCACGCGGAUGUCACAAAUAGCCAUUAUGCUCACUGAAACAAAGCUACAGAAAAAUCUGAAAACUUACCCAAAGUAAGUCUACAGUAGUCUAGAGCAAGCUGAAUGCUUAUGGCAUCAAUACUAUUUUAGUGGUGUCUGCAUGCACAAAUAUUUUAGUACAGUGUUUUCAGGAUAGUCCCACAAUAAAGGGUAGAGUCAAUGUGAUAUAUAUAUAUAGUAUAUAGAUAUAAAUAGCCAUCCACUUGAAUCUACUGAUCAACUUUUCUCACUAACAAGAGAAACUGCUUUUUAAAAGACUGUACACAGCUAGCCCAGCUCCCCAGGUGACCUGAAAGGAAUAAAAUUCUUGUGAUAGGUAAAGCAAGAAGGCUAGGAUAAAGCUACAUUAAACUGGGAGUAAAUGAAUACAUGAAAUUUGUUCCUACUCUGACCAAUGUUAUUAAUUUCCAAAUGACAUAAAAUGAGAAGGAAAGAUGAUUCUGUGCAUAUCCUUUUCAUCUAUACCCUUCUCACGGUUCCACAUCUCAGAAAGAAGAGACUGUUGUAUCACAAGUUUACUUCAUUCGUGUUCUCUUACAGGAGAUGGAAAGGAAAAGAACUGAUGGUUUGCAGGAAUGCAAAAUAAGGGCACUGGCUACGGCAAUGUCCAGAGAACACGUGGCUUGCAGAAGCUGGAUGGCUUCAUUCUCCCUUGGAAUAACGACACCCAGGAUCUGCCCAGCUCCAGAGCCAUCACUAAGGAUGUGCUAUAUAUAACACAGGAUAUAAGGAUAUAUAUAUGUAUAUAACACAGAUAUAACAAAGGAUGUGUUAGAUACAUGUUUUAAGGGUCAGGCAACUAGGGCAAGUGUAAUUUUACCACUGCAUGUCCUCCAUGAACAGGUGUUUCUCAAAUCAGAGAACAACCCAAGUUGGAAGUAUGGUCCACAGGGACCACUGAGACAAACUCCUGUCUCCACUCAGGACCACCCUGAAGCCCUCAUUCAAACCUUAUGUCUGAGAGCAUUGUCCAAACACCCCUUCAGCUCCGGCAGCUUGGGGCCAUGAUCACUCCCCUGGGGAGCUUUUUCCAUGCCCGUAGUCCUCUGGAGAAGAACCUUUUUCCAGUGCAGCUCCAUGAACUCAUCUGAGUCCGUUGUACAGCCCAAUUAUUCAGGCCUCUGGUUGGGUAGCAGAAUUAUGUUUGGCCAAUGAGGCUGCCAAAUACUUCAAAAAACAACUGGCUACUAGGCAUUAUGUUGGUCCUGGUGUCACACAGAUGGCACUUCUUGGUUAGUUUCAGGGAAAAAGUGUCAGAGCAGGGAUCUGAGAAGACUUGAAGUACAAUUUUACCUUAGUCCUACAGAUACAGGGUACUGCCAAAGGUGUGAAAUUCUUAAAUAGAAAUAUCAAGAAUAUUACAAAGAAUAAUCUACAGGUGUGAUAGUAUAAUUUAAAAGAUCCCACUGAACCCUGGCUUUCAGCUAUUACUCUGACAUGUACAUAUAAAGACUCUCAAUUUCCCCCAGUUUUUUCACCACUCAUAAUUUUCUAUACAUUACACAAUAAUUCCCAUUUAUACACUAAUUCUCUUUCUCCUUUCAUCUGUUAACCGUCAGGUUCCCAAAUGCCUACAGUACAUGUGUUGCCUCUGCCUUCAGUGUUUUUCCAUCCUCUUCCACUCCUUCAUUGCUCAUCUUCAUUCUCAAACAAAUCCAGGACAGGUAGCUGUGUGCAGCACUCAGAUUAGCUAGCCUAAGCACAGGAAUCCCUAAAAGAUAACCAUGCUUCCGCAUGUGCAUCUGUUUCAGUAGUUGUUCUUACAUGUCUCUGAAUGUAUUUAACAUAAUUAUAUGUGUUAUUGCACCAGGAUUCAUCAUUAUAGAACAGUCAAAAAAGUCUAUCCCACAGAGUGUGGAGAGGGGAUUUUGAGGAAUGCAUUGUAAUACUACCAGUACAUCAUCUGUUUUGCUCUAUUUCCCAUAGUAUGUUAUUUAAUUUAGCCUUGAUAAAGUACUGGGAGGCUUUAAACCAUGCUCUUAGUCAUGAAAAUGUUCACAAAGCAGAAAACAGAAAAUGUUUUCUGCAUGGAACAAAGGGAACAAAAGGCAAGAAUUAUACCUAAAAGUACCAGGCUACAGUGUGAACAGAUUUUAUUGGACAUUUGUAUAAAAUGUCAGAGCACUUCAUUCUGGAGUAAUUCUGUCCUUAUUGCUCAUUUUUCUUCCCCCUUCUACUUCAGAGCUUCUUUUUCAGUACUUUUUUUUUUUUUUUUUUUUUUUUUUUUUUUUUACUUUUGAAAUCUCUACUUCUUAAAGACCACUUUUGCAUCCGUGUUUUUUUUCUUUUCUUUUUUUCCCCAUGGUUUUAAAUCUACAUGUUCAGAAGUAAAUCCUGUGGCUCCUCCUGUUUCCCAGCUGUUUAGUGCUUCUCAUGCUACCUCCCUCUUGCCUGCUUAAAGAAAACACAGGGGGGAUGCUUAGGAACUGAGAAAAGGAAAAUAGUGAAUGGUUUAAAACACUGAGGAUCACAAUAGCCAGAAAAGUUGUGAGACAGAGGACAGAAUAGUUGAAGUUGAGGCAGCUUAUUUUUAGUCCUUCUUUUCCCAGCAGCUUGUUUGCUUCCUAUAACUGAGUCUGGAUUGCAGUAACAUCUCUACAAAGUAUUUCAGAACAGCCUAAUGUCCUAACAAGGAGUAUGUCCAGUUUUCCAUUUUCAAGAAGUUCAGGCACCCUGCAAGCAAAACUUGGCUCUGUAAAAAUCUCAGAAGCGGGCAAUUUUAACUAGCCUGAGAGAGAGGAGGUAAGAGUGAUCCUGUCUGUAGUCAGCCUUUGCAGCCUCAAAGUAUGGACAUCUUCAGCAUUAGAGGAGCGCAGAGAUAAGGGAGGCAUUGUUGCACAUAUAACACUUCCCAUUUUCCAUGCUGCUUCAGCUGUUAAAUUUUCAUCUGCCUGUAGAUGCUGAAAUAUAUCCACAAAUUGAAGACUCCUAUACCUCAAAUGAAACUAACAUAUAAAGGAUAAUGUUUUACAAGUGAAAUGAAUAGGUAGAGUCCGCACAAACACUGAUUUCCAGGUAGGAUAACAUCAUAAACACAGGGAAAUUAAAUUAAUGGUUGAAUGAUAACAUUACUAAACUCCCAGCAUUAAUAAUCAGACAUAAAUCUUUAACUGUCUGUGACUGAGGACUCCUGUAUCUUGUUAUAACUCACCUCCCUACAGAAUACACAUCUCCUUCUAAAUAUAAAUAUUUGAAAUUACAAUCUAUGUGUGUUGGAGUAUGAUAAAAUGUGCAGGAAUUAACAGGUUGAUUCUAAAAAAUAACGUGUCUGGAAAGUAUAUAUUAAUACUAAAAACGGGGAAGCCGUCUUGCACUGGUCUUGUUUGUUUGCUCUUCAGUCAAUUUCAAUUAGUGUUCUUGAAACUGUAUGUGUGGAGUAAUAUUAGCUCUGAAAAAUCAGUAACCCCCAAUUUUUUACUGCAUUCAAGUACAGUUUUAUCUUACCUGUGCAUUAGCAAUGAGAGAGAAAUAAAAGAUAACUGAGGGAUUAUCUUUUGUCCUGGUUUCAUCUUUAAGACCAAAACCUACUAAAUCUGUCAUCUCUGCUACAGAUAAAUGGUUUGUAAAGUUUUGAAAUAAUCAUAUGCAUCCAAAAAUGGUGAAUUUCCAAAGUAAACUGGGAGUAAAAUAUCAAACCAGAGCACCUUCUGCAGGUCUGCCAGUACUCAGUCCACCUAUGUUUUAAGAAACAACCCCAAAAUCACCUCAAAACAUGUUGCAAACUUUUUUUUGUUUGUUUGUUUUUAAAUAUUCCUCACUGUCUUUAGCUUAGGAGCUGUAAUUUGACAAGCAGCUGACAUUGCAUUUUAAUAAUUAUGAUUAACCAAGUUAUAAAAGUUUUCAAUAUUUUAUUAUUUUUUUCUUUUUAGGUGCAUCAGCUUCUUGCUGAAUUAGUUAUUUCCUAACAUUUCUCAGUAGUGCAUGCUGCAUAUUAUAAGUCAACUGUGAUUUCAAGUGAUGUAUAAAGUAUAAUGAUUUUUUUUCCCAUAUUCUUUGUAUUGAUGAAGACAGAGAAAACACUGCAGCUCUGGUUUCAACCUUGAAAGAGCUACAAUCUGUUCUUUACUAUGUCACAUUCUUCAUCUGUAACAUGGGAACAGCAAUUGCUACGCUGUACCGUGAUGUGGGGUAUGAUCAAUGUGAUGUGCUCAGCUACUGCAGUAAAGAAAAACAAGAUGGGUAGCACUCCAGAAAAGACAAAAAGAUGAGUGAAUCCCGCAUAGCUGGGAAACAGAAGAUAUGAAGACACACAUGCUCACAGGUGGUCCAUGUGCUCAUGGAUUUCAUGAGGAGCAUCCCACUGGUUUCAGCAGGAGACAGAUUCCAACCCCUCGGCACAGUAAAACCACACAUUUCUUCCAUCAGUGGCAUGGAGCACUGGCAGGGACACAAACCCAGUUCCUGAGAUUCUGAGAAGACAACACUUGCUCAGCUUUGCAAAAGCCAUCUGGGAUCUUCAGAUAUAAGGACUGAAAUGUUACCUGUUUCAACCUGCAGGAAUAUUGCCACCAGGUUUGGGAAGGCCUGGAUUUCACCUAAAGCACUGCAAACAACAUGUUUACAUCUGCAUCUUAUUGAUCGCUUUUUGUUGGCCUGUUUGAAAAAAGUAACAGGAGAAUGGGGGGGGGAACCACACACACACAAAAAAAAAAAAAAAAAAGAAAGAAAAAGAGAAAAAAUAAAUGAAUUGCAGGGUGGAAGGAGUGGGAAAAGAGCUCGGUUGUGAGGGAGCCACAGCAAUACUACUAAAACAACUACUUUGUUUUAUAUUGGGUCUACUUCCAUGGCAUCUAACACCACAUGUAAAUGCUAAUACUCCCUGAAUGUUAUCACUUCAUGAAGGUUCAACAGCAAAGUGAUCUAAAAGACAGUGCUGUAAUGAAAUGCCAUGAGGUUAGGAACUGUCAGCACUCCAUCGCAAACCACCACAACACGCAAUGAACUGGGAAAUGAGCAAACUUUCUCCAAUAUAUACUAAGGUAGAAAGAAUAAAAGAUAUAUAAAUGAAUAUUCUGUUAUCUGCAGACAUCACUGUGGUGUUACAACACCAGACAAGAACACAGUGCGUCAGAAAUGACAAAUAAGGGAUCCCACUUUUCUGAUCCUUUUAUUGGGAAGAUGUAGUGAUUUCUGAAUCUCCACCCAGAUAAGGAAACUUCAGUCUAAAAAUUUUCUGUUCUAUGAAAUACUCAUAGUUAAAGGCACUUCCACCUUUAAAAAUACUGAAUUAAAUGCUUGCUCUGCAAAAUGCACCUACACUGUAUGCAAGGAUGUUGACCUCUCGCCAUCGCUUCCUAUGAGUUCACACAACGCAGCGGUGACACGGGGCCAUGGGGAAGCCCCCGCACUCUGCACGCACGUGUCACCUCCCGCACUCCUCCACCCCUGCACGGAGCAUCCCACACAGCUCCCGGCCUGGGCUGCUGGCGGGGCAGUCGCAGCUCAUGGUGGCAGCAGGAAGCGGCACAUCUGC